rnacentral:rRNA from 1 species
CCUACGGGAGGCAGCAGUGAGGAAUAUUGGUCAAUGGACGAGAGUCUGAACCAGCCAAGUAGCGUGAAGGAUGACUGCCCUAUGGGUUGUAAACUUCUUUUAUAAAGGAAUAAAACGAGGCACGUGUGCCUUUUUGCAUGUACUUUAUGAAUAAGGAUCGGCUAACUCCGUGCCAGCAGCCGCGGUAAUACGGAGGAUCCGAGCGUUAUCCGGAUUUAUUGGGUUUAAAGGGAGCGUAGAUGGGUUGUUAAGUCAGUUGUGAAAGUUUGCGGCUCAACCGGAAAAUUGCAAUUGAUACUGGCAGUCGUGAGUACAGUUGAGGUAGGCGGAAUUCGUGGUGUAGCGGUGAAAUGCUUAGAUAGCACGAAGAACCCCGAUUGCGAAGGCAGCUUACUAAACUGUGACUGACAUUGAUGCUCGAAAGUGUGGGUAUCAAACAGGAUUAGAUACCCCAGUAGUC